UGAGUGUGUGUGUGUGUGUGUGUGUGUGUGCAUGCACACGCGCGCACACACACACACACACACACACACACACACU
rnacentral:miRNA from 1 species